AGAAAUUCUACAUUGGUCAGAAAUAGAUCCGAAGCCACCUGAAGGUUAACACAGACUCUCCUUACCUACUCCUACUCAAUUAAUCCUUGUUCUUUAGAGCGGUAACAAAUCUUCCUGUAUCUGAGCUUAGGUACAGAUAGAAGCCCAAUUCCUUGGUAGGGUGGUUGACAUGGCUAAUUUGAAGAUC
rnacentral:ribozyme from 1 species